UGGGGAAUUUUGGACAAUGGGCGCAAGCCUGAUCCAGCCAUGCCGCGUGCAGGAUGAAGGCCUUCGGGUUGUAAACUGCUUUUGUACGGAACGAAACGGCUCUGUCUAAUACAUGGGGCUAAUGACGGUACCGUAAGAAUAAGCACCGGCUAACUACGUGCCAGCAGCCGCGGUAAUACGUAGGGUGCAAGCGUUAAUCGGAAUUACUGGGCGUAAAGCGUGCGCAGGCGGUGAUGUAAGACAGGUGUGAAAUCCCCGGGCUUAACCUGGGAAUUGCAUUUGUGACUGCAUCGCUGGAGUGCGGCAGAGGGGGAUGGAAUUCCGCGUGUAGCAGUGAAAUGCGUAGAUAUGCGGAGGAACACCGAUGGCGAAGGCAAUCCCCUGGGCCUGCACUGACGCUCAUGCACGAAAGCGUGGGGAGCAAACA
rnacentral:rRNA from 1 species